rnacentral:rRNA from 1 species
CGAAAUGCGAUACGUAAUGNGAAUUGCAGGAUUCAGUGAAUCAUCGAAUCUUUGAACGCACCUUGCG